UACGGAGGUGGCUAGCGUUGUUCGGAAUUACUGGGCGUAAAGCGCACGUAGGCGGCUUUGUAAGUUAGAGGUGAAAGCCCGGGGCUCAACUCCGGAAUUGCCUUUAAGACUGCAUCGCUAGAAUUGUGGAGAGGUAAGUGGAAUUCCGAGUGUAGAGGUGAAAUUCGUAGAUAUUCGGAAGAACACCAGUGGCGAAGGCGACUUACUGGACACAUAUUGACGCUGAGGUGCGAAAGCGUGGGGAGCAAACAGG
rnacentral:rRNA from 1 species